rnacentral:rRNA from 1 species
UGGGGAAUUUUCCGCAAUGGGCGAAAGCCUGACGGAGCAAUACCGCGUGAGGGAAGAAUGCCUGUGGGUUGUAAACCUCUUUUAUUAGGGAAGAAUUUUGACGGUACCUAAUGAAUAAGCAUCGGCUAACUCCGUGCCAGCAGCCGCGGUAAUACGGGGGAUGCAAGCGUUAUCCGGAAUCACUGGGCGUAAGGCGUCUGUAGGUGGCUUAAUAAGUCUGCUGUUAAAUGUUAGAGCUUAACUCUAAAACAGCGGUGGAAACUACUAAGCUUGAGUAUGGUAUGGGCAAAGGGAAUUCCCAGUGUAGCGGUGAAAUGCGUAGAUAUUGGGAGGAACACCAGUAGCGAAAGCGCUUUGCUUGGCCUUUACUGACACUCAGAGACGAAAGCGAAGGUAGCGAACGGGAUUAGAUACCCGCGUAGUCC